GACGAACGCUGGCGGCGUGCUUAACACAUGCAAGUCGAACGGAAAGGCCCUGCUUUUGUGGGGUGCUCGAGUGGCGAACGGGUGAGUAACACGUGAGUAACCUGCCCUUGACUUUGGGAUAACUUCAGGAAACUGGGGCUAAUACCGGAUAGGAGCUCCUGCUGCAUGGUGGGGGUUGGACAGUUUCGGCGGUUGGGGAUGGACUCGCGGCUUAUCAGCUUGUUGGUGGGGUAGUGGCUUACCAAGGCUUUGACGGGUAGCCGGCCUGAGAGGGUGACCGGCAACAUUGGGACUGAGAUACGGCACAGACUCCUACGGGAGGCAGCAGUGGGGAAUAUUGCACAAUGGGCGGAAGCCUGAUGCAGCAACGCCGCGUGCGGGAUGACGGCCUUCGGGUUGUAAACCGCUUUCGCCUGUGACGAAGCGUGAGUGACGGUAAUGGGUAAAGAAGCACCGGCUAACUACGUG
rnacentral:rRNA from 1 species